GAUGAAGAACGCAGCGAAAUGCGAUAAGUAAUGUGAAUUGCAGAAUUCAGUGAAUCAUCGAGUCUUUGAACGCACAUUGCGCCCCCUGGUAUUCCGGGGGGCAUGCCUGUCCGAGCGUCAUUGCUGCCCUCAAGCACGGCUUGUGUGUUGGGCCCCCGUCCCCGGUUCUCCCCGGGGACGGGCCCGAAAGGCAGCGGCGGCACCGCGUCCGAUCCUCGAGCGUAUGGGGCUUUGUCACCCGCUCUGUAGGCCCGGCCGGCGCCAGCCGACACCCCAACUUUAUUUUCUAAGGUUGACCUCGGAUCAGGUAGGGAUACCCGCUGAACUUAAGCAUAUCAAUAAGCGGAGGA
rnacentral:misc_RNA from 1 species